CUCCCCGGCGGGAAUCAACCCCGGUCUCCCGCGCUAGGACAGGCGGGGAUAAUAACCAAUUAUACUACCGAGGA